ACUCAUAAGAUCGUGACA
rnacentral:snRNA from 1 species